AAUAAAUCAUUUGUUUUCUUUCUGCAUCUUGGUUGACUACAUAUUGCUAUACACAUUACCUAAUCUGUAUUAAAUGGUUAACAUCAUGAAUCAGUCAACCCAUUUUUCUUUUUCGACCUUAUUGGGUUUAACUCAUAUAUGACAAAAAAUUUAUUCAAGUUCAUACUAAACUUCAAAAUUAUCAGAUCGACUGCUGCCCCAGCCUUGUCAGUGAUGAGUAAGUAUGAUGAUCUUGAUCUAUUUUCAAGUUUUAUACUCUUGUCAACACACCUUCAUAUGUUAUCUUUUCUGGUUAAAAUUUCUCUAAUGCUUGAAUUUUGCUAAUAAUUGUUUAGAUAGUGUUUCUGGCUUACAUAAAGAAAAUGCAAUUUUACUUUUCUUGCUUCAAUGAUGCAGAUGAAUUUUCGGGUGAUUUUAUAAAGCAAAAUUUGCUCCCUCUGGCUGUGCCCAUGAACCAUGAAACACUUGGUCUGUUGAGAUAUGAUGAUAGAAAAAUUGUCUUAACAAUGAUGGAAGAUGAAAAGGGAGAGAUCACAAAAAUUGAUCAAGUUAUUGAAGCCUGCUGCCUCUGCAAAUCGUGACUUGGUAUUUGGCUAUGUUGGAGUUAAACAGUGGAAAGAGUUUGCUGAUACAUUUGGUGCCAAUAAGAAUAAAAUGUUUCCGAAAUUGAUAAUCUGGAACGGGGAUGAGUAGUACUUUUCGGUUAUUGGUUCUGAAAGCCUUGAUGGCGAAGAUCAAGGGUCUCAAAUCUCACGAUUCCUGGAAGGAUAUAGGGAAGGAAGAACAG